rnacentral:lncRNA from 1 species
GGAAACUAUUCUCAGAAAUUAAAAUGAAGCAUCCAGGGACUUGCAAUACGAUGCUGAGCCUUCCAGCUAUUCUCUAUUCUUCCCUGUCUGAACAGCGUGUUUCUACAUCAAAUGCCUGCAAAGGAAAUGCAAUCAGAAAGAAAGUAAAAUAUUGCCCGCAGUCAUCUGAGGCAUCCUGCUGUGUUGUAUGGGUAAAGACCUGGCUGUAACCAAGGAAAAGGUCUGGAACCCUUCUGUAAAUGCUGGCCUUCAGCGGGGGGAUGCUUUUCCACAGGGAAAGGGGAAGGUGCAGGGUGCCCGGGGAGCUACUGGGGAAGUGAUGCUUUGAAGCUGUGGCUGCGGAGCCAGGUGCCGCUCAGGAAGGUGGCAGUCUCCCCGCGGCCUCUCGUGCCGCCCUCUGGCAAGCGGGGCUCUCUUUGUGCUGCUGCCGCUAAGCAGAAUGCUCUCGUGGACGUGGGCGGUGCUGGGUUUGCUCCUUUUCAUGUGGCUGACCAGAGCACAUGAAGGCAGACAAACGUACUUGUUUGUUCUCCUCGUGCAGCAACUUCAUCCAUACACAGUGGUGCUCAUGGAUGUAAAACGAACUCCCUCCUCACCAGAUUGUUGCUUGUCUAUCCAAUCCUCGUGGGUGGAGCUGCACUGCACUUGCCAUGGUUAGCAUGGUUCAGAUUCCAGUAUCAUGAAUUGGCAGGUGGAGGGGAACAGAAGAAACUGGCCUAUCAUAAUAUUCUUACUUUUCCUUCGUUGGAAAACUUGCUGGAUGAAAGAAUCUUAUUUAGGGACAAGGCUGACAAAGACUGACUUAAAAGUUGGGAGAUGAUGCAGCUCUAUAGUAUACUUCUCUUCUUGCAAUGCAAGGAAUGAUAUACAGGGAAUUUGAUAUGAAGGGAUUUUUCAUCUCAUAAAUAAUCUGUUCUUCAUAUUUUCAAAUGUGUGACGGAUACUUUCAGGGAAACUGAAUAAACAAACUAAGCAUGGAUGAUGCUGUGAGCUG